UACAGAGGUCCCAAGCGUUUGUUCGGAUUCACUGGGCGUAAAGGGUGCGUAGGUGGUGAGGUAAGUCGGAUGUGAAAUCUCCGAGCUCAACUCGGAAAUGGCAUUGGAAACUACCUUGCUCGAGGGUUGGAGGGGGGACUGGAAUACUUGGUGUAGCAGUGAAAUGCGUAGAUAAUCAAGUGGAACACCAGUGGCGAAGGCGG
rnacentral:rRNA from 1 species